rnacentral:RNase_P_RNA from 1 species
ACGGUUGACUUCAUCGCCUCAUGAAAGUGGGGAGGAAAGUCCGGACAGCAUAGAGUACCGUACUUCUCAAAAGGGAGGACCAUCAAACGUGAUGGGACAGAAAGUGCUAAAGAGAUUUAAACCGCCGAUGACUCGAGUCGCAAGAUUCAAGCACAGGUAAGGCUGAAAAGGUGAGGUAAGAGCUCACCAGUAAUGGAGUAAUCCAUUAGCUUAGGUAAACCUUGCGGGCUGCAAGACCAUGUAAACUAGUGCUUGAGGGUUACUCGCCCGAUGCUAGAGGGUAGGUCGCACUAGAUCAAUGAUGAAGCUUUUCGAAGUUUACUUUGAGAGGAACAGAAUCCGGCUUACACCGUAAAA